rnacentral:lncRNA from 1 species
UGAUAGGAGCAUAUUUAUGCUACUUAGUUAGCUUGUUUUCUUGCAUUUAAUUAGCUAAAACUAUGUUAAUUAUAGUGUUUAAAGUUAUUUUCGUGCAAUUUCAGGUUUUAGUGUCAAAGUAUGCAAAAAGAAGCAAUUUGGAGCAUUCUAGAGCAUUUUUGGGCCAAGAUUGGAUAGUGCAAGCAUGGAGGCAUGAAGAUGGACGAAUUUGAAAGGCUUGAAUUCAGUUAGAGAGCUGCAAGGAGGCCUAAAAAUCUGAUUUCUAGAAGGCUACAUUAAUCCCACAUGUUUUUAGACUUUGUUCUUCUAGAAGCCAGCCAUUUAAGACCCACAUGUUUCACACAUGGUGCCUAAUUUCUACCUAAUUUCUGGUACAAAACCUCUUGUUUUCAACUAAGUUCUAAACCCUUCCUAGCCCUAUAAAUAAGGCAGCUGCAAGCAUCACAAAGGCAUUCAGAAAUUUCACAAACCCUUCACAUCACUCAUUCAUCAUCAAAAUUCGUCCAUUCUAUUCCAGCAGCAUCCAUUGACCCCAAAACACCAUUCUUCAACCUAGAGACACAAUCAGCCAUUCCAUCACUUCCCAACCAUCAAACACUCAUCUACACCUAUCCUACACACUUUUCCACCAUUCCACACCAUCCAUAACCCCCAAAAACCAUCACAAACCCCUGGGCCGCAACCAAGGAAGAGGAGGAAGGUUCUUAGACGUUCCUGCUGUGCAAUUUAGAUUGCUGGAAUUUUUAGGUGUGAUCUUUCUUAUGUUUUCAAUGUUUCAAUUCAAUAAACUUUGUGUUGUGAGUAUGAGGAACUAAACCCCCUUAGUUGGGGGGUGAUUCGAAACCAUGUACAUGCUUGCAAUAUGAUUUGAUUACAUUCAGUUGUUAUUUCAUAAGUUGUGGAUUCAAUUCGUUCAUCUACUUGAUUGAUAACUUAUUUGUGUAUGUUGAUUGAGAGUGCACGCUUAGUUUUCAUGCAUGAAUAUGAUGCUAGAUUAUGAGGGAGUUUCACCUAAUAGUUACAAUCUUAUAAUCACAAGUAGUGAAGGUCGCCUGAAAACGAUCGCGUUGAAUGAAUUCUUGGCACUAGUUUCAUGCUCAUCAUAGUAACGAAUGCCUCGUCAACACUUAUAGUUCUCAUUGUGCUUCAUGAUUCUUGAUUGUAUCUUUAUUGUGCUCAUCACGUAAGGAACCUUUAAGGAAUGCUUUGAAUUGUUGUAUGCGCUUUCCCAUCCAAUUCAUUAACUUUAGGAGAACUUGAAGGUUAAUUUAAGCGUAUCUAAUUAACUUGGGGUGUUGAGUUUCAUAAUUUAUUGGGAGAACAACUGAAAAUCGUUUUGUUUGCAAGUGUGUCAUGUGUGGAGAAGAACCUCCUAACUAGCCUUCUACCCAUCUAUUUCACCAAAAUCGUUUUUACAAUCUGCCCUAUUUCCAAUCUGUUUUCUUUAUUUUAAUCUUCGUCAAAACAAAAUCCCCCUUUAUUUUAGAGUCCUAGAUUAGUUAGAAAGUGUGUUAGUUUAUGUUUUCUAGUGUUUUGAGUCAAGUUAUAACAUAAAUUCGUCCAAAUUUGUGUUAGUACUCAAAACUGCCCAGAUUGUGCUUCUAAGGCAGUUUUGAGUGUUUAUUUGCUGUUUUGGUUCCUUUGCUUUGUUUUGGUGUUUUAACUUUUAAUUUUACAUUCUUUGAGUCUAGUUUAGUGUUUUAAACUUUGUUUUUACAUUAUUGAGUCAGUUUUCAAGAGAUUAGCAAUCCCUCCUAAUCCCCGGUUUAGAACGAUCCCUACUUACAUAUUUACUACAAUUUGACAAAAGAGGGUUUAAUUUGUGUGCUUAAUAUAUUUCGCAUCACGUAUUGCAUUUGUAAUCCCAAACUGAAUAGGUUUUCUCUACCUCUUCUAAUAGGUUGGGUAACCAUGAUAUGCUGCAUGGUGUCACUCAUGGUUUGUGGAAGCCCUAAACGUGUGUAAUCACUAAAGGGAGAAUUGAAAGUAAGUUUCAAUUCACAAUCGAUAUAAAAUGGUUUUAAUCGCCCACUGCCUCGCUAAAAGGAACCUAAUGGAUCGCACACCGUGUAAGGUGGAGAUUAAAGAAACAAUGAAGAUGAGUAAGAAUGAUUAAAUGGUUUAAUCAUUUAUUUAUGGCAAGGAUUAAUUAAUAUGUUAAUUAAUCAAACGAAUAAGUUCGUUAAAGACCUCGGGAUAGUUUUGGACAUUAAGGCCCAAUGGGCUUCGAACGUCAAGCCCAUUGAAUUAAGUUGUAUGACAACUUAAUGAAUAAUGAUUCACAAAGGCCUAAUUAGCCCAAAAAUACCCUAGGGCCGGCCAUGAUGCUAAGGGUAGUGAACUUGGACUUAUUUACAAGUUUGUCACUCAAAUGAAUAAAGGUAUAAAUAUGACUUUAUAGCCUAAAAUUCAUUAGGGUUUGUUUUGGAGAAAAUUGGAGAGAACAUGUCUCUCCAUUUCUCUCUAAAGAGGCCGGCCACCUUGGGGGUGCAUCUUGCAAUCCCACUACUCCAAGGUCACUCAUUUCUUCUCCAAUCUCUCCUUGGUGAAGAGACUUAGAGGUUCCCUAUUUUGGGAACUUGGAGAAACCUAUUCAUCCAUCUAAAUCCAUAGAUUUAUUAUGCAAGGAAUGAAGGCCCUCUCUUUGGGUGAUUAGCCUUUGCUUAUGCAAAGAGGAAUCUACAAAGGUACAAUUUCAACUCACUUUGUUUUGAGUUGAGUUUUGGUUCACCAAUCUACUAGGCUUUGAAUUUCUUGGUUAAUGUUUUGUUUUUAAGUGCCUGCUAGCAUGAUUCCGCCUUUAAUUGUUAAUUGCAUGCUUAUUGAUGUUGCUUAAAUGAACAUGUUUUCACAAAAUAAUCCUUCAUUCCCUACACGAACAACAUGAUAGAGAUACACAUCAAAGAUCAUUAAGUUCUAUGAAAAUCAUAAGCAUUGACAAGGCAUUCGUAACUAUGAACACCAUGAUACAACUGCCAGGAAUUCACUUAACACGAUCAUGACCAUUGACCUCCACUACUUGUAAAUAUAAGUUCAUAACUAUUAGGUGAAACUCCCUUAUUUUUUAGCAUCAAAUUCAUGCAUGCAAACUAAGUAUGCAUCCUUAAUCAACAUACAAGAAUAAGUUCUGAAUUAAACAGAUAAGCAAAUUGCAUUCACGAUUCAUGGACUAAUAACUGAAGGUAAUCAAUUCAUAUGCAAUAUAUGUUCAUGGCUUUGAAUUCGCCUCUAGCUAAUACAAGUUUAGUUCCUCAUGUUUGCAAUUAAACAAAACCAAUCUAAUUUAAACAAUGAACUAAAACUAAGGAUAGAAUACACCUAGAAACUCUCCAGCACUCCAAUGGCCUUGGAUGGCAGGCACGGCACAAAGCUCCUUCUUCUCCUUGGAAAGAUGAAGCACAAUUGUGUAUUUUUCUGAUUUUAGGCUCUUGUGUAUGUGGUGCUAUGAAUGGUGCGAAUUUGGUGUAUUUAUAGGGCUAGGGUUCGUCACAAAGGUUGUAGAAGGAUUUGUAUGGCAGGUUCCUAGGGGGAAGAGAAUUAAUGUGAAAUUCCCUUAUAUUUGUAACGAUUAGGUGAAAUUCCCUUAUAUUCUAGCAUCAAAUCCCUGCAUGCAAACUAAGUAUGCAUCCUUAAUAAACAUACAAAAAUAACUGGAUGUAAUCAAUUUAUAUAAAACAUAUGAUCAUGGCUUCGAAAAGAAACUUAGUUACACAUGUUCAUCAUAACUAAAAAAUAAUCAAAAAUAAACAUUGAAACUUAAAAUAAAGAUAGAAAGAACCCAGAAAACUCUAGUGACUUCAAUGGAUGAUUGCAAGUUACGGCACACUCAUUCUUCUCUGGCCCCAGUAGGUUACGGCACAAGCUUUUAAUAAAACAUGCGGCACCAGGCUCUCUCCCUGAUUACUGCAACAAGAAUAUAUAUAUAGGGUAGGGCAUGGCUGACUCUAAGGAGAAAAAAGAUUAGGGUGUUUGAAUUAUCUUAGGACUCCUAGAAUCAGGUGGGAAGUAUUUAGAAUGUGACAAGGAUUCCUUUUGUAGCCGGAAAUAAGAUGAGAUAAUGUUGGAUAAAAUGGGAUAAUGUUAUUUCUUAGUUAAAUUAGUAUUUCAAGUCAUUUUCGUGUGUUUGCAGGACCAAAGAGCUAAAUUAUCAAGAAAGUACAUUUUGGAGCUUGAUGCGAAAUAUAUAAGCAGGCAAAUUAAACCCUUUUUUUUAUCAAAUGUAGUAAAGAAUGUAAGUAGGGAUCGUUCUAGGCCGGGGAUUAGGAAGGAUUGCUAAAACACUUAAAACUGACUCAAAAACGUAAAACAAAGUUUAAAACACUAACUUAAACUCAAAGAAUGCAAAACUAAACUAUAAAACACUAAAACAACUCAAAAGACUCAAAUCUGCCAAAAAACACAAACUAGGCAGAUUUGGACUCUAAAAACUUAAAAACGCAAUUUAAAACAUAUUCUAUCUAGUUAGACACUCUAAAGUAAAUGGGGGUUUGGUUUCGGACGAAAAUCAAGUAAAAUAAAACAAGAAAGACUUAAACAGAUUUUAGACGAAAUUAGGUGAAUUAGAUGGAUGAUUGGCUAGCUAGGAGGUUCUUCUCCACACAUGACACACUUGCAAACAAAACGAUUUCCAGUUGCUUUUCAAUAAACCAUGAAUUCUCAACGCCCCAAAUUAACCGUUAAUUGCACUAAUUAACCCUCAGAUUUUUCUAAAGUUAUUGAAUUGGAUGAUUGCAUACAACCCAAAGUAUUCCCCACAAGUUCCCCACAUGAAUUGCAUAAUAGAGAUACAAGUAAAGAUCAUUAAGUUCUAUGAAAAUCAUAAGCAUUGACGAGGCACUUGUUACUAUGAAUUGCAUGGAACUUGUGCCAAGAAUUUACUUAACGCGAUUGUGAUUAGCAACCUUUACUACUUGUGAAUAUAAGUUCAUAACGAUUAGGUGAAACUCCCAUAUAUCCUAGCAUCAGAUUUAUGCAUGAAAAUUAAGCAUGCACUCUCAACCAACACACAAAAAUCAGUUUUAAUUCAUGUAGAUAAGCAAAUUGAAUUCACAACUUAUGAAACACAACUGAAAGUAAUCAAAUCAUAUAGCAAGCAUGAACAUGGUUUCGAAUUCCCCCUAGCUACGGGGGGUUUAGUUCCUCAUACGUACAAAGCAAAAAUAAACAAAUUUAGACAUUGAAAACAAAAGAAAGAAAACACUUAGACGCUCCAACUUGAACAGCAAGCACAUCCACGAUUUUUCUCCUUCCUUUUUAUUGUGGCACAAGGCUUGGGGACAGGUUUGGGGGUUAUGAUGUAUGGAAGAAUGGAUGGGAGAUGGUAUGGUAGUGUUUAGGAUGGAUGGGAGGUGCGGCAAGGGGUGUUUUAGGUCAGUAACUAUGGAAGAUUGGUGGUGAUGGCUGCGGCAGAGAUGAGAAGAUGGUUUCUGGCGUGAAUUAUGAAUAUGGGAGGUGGUAGUUCGGCCAAAGCUGAAAUAUGAGUAUAUAUAGGCACAUAAAACCCUAGGGAAAUCAGGUUAGGACUUGGACUUAGCAGAAAAUAAGGAUUAGGGCCCAAAAAAUCAAAAUCCAAAGGGGAAAAGGCUUAAAAGGUGCGGCAGAAAUGUAGGAAAGGGAUUGGGCUUCUAGAAUGCCUUGCAAGGCAAGGAAAAAGGUUUCUAGAAAGGUUUAGGUGUGGCUCCUAGAUCUGAAAGGGAUUGGUUUUCUUGUGCAACAAGGAUAGGAAAUGAAGGGAUAGGGUUUCUAGAAACCCAUAAACCCAAGGAGAUGCACAGCAUGGAUAGGGAAGUGUUCUAGAGCCUUUCUUUGUGUCCAAAAAUGCUUAGGAAUCCUUCAAUGUUGCUGAAACUUAAGGCCAUGUACGUUUAGGAAAGAUCAACCCAAAAUAGGAAACUUUAGGCUUAACUUUCCUACUUCAAGUAGGAAACCUUGUUUGAGUAGGAAUCCUCAUUCUUCUAGGAAUCCAUCUUUGACUAGGAAUCCUUCUUCAAUUAGGACUCCUUCGUUGAUUAGGAAUCUUACUUUAAUUAGGACUCCUUACAUCUUCAACUCUUCAAUUUCGUCCAUUCCUUUUGCUCAAAGCAUGUGAUAUCCAUUCCAAGCUCAAUUUUGCUCCAAAAGGCUCCAAAAUGCACUACUUUGCAUACUUUGCCCUUAAAACUUGAAAACACAUGAAAAUGGCUUAAAAGACUAACUUAACUAAGAACACACAACGUAAAUGCACAAGAACAAGCUCACUAAGUCGCAUAAAUAUGCUUCUAUCAGAGCUUUUUGGAGCAGUUUUGGGCAUGGAAUAAAUAUCAUAUGCUUGUGAUAGGAGCAUAUUUAGGCGACUUAGUUGGCUUGUUCUUGUGCAUUUACGUUGUUAUUUCUUAGUUAUUUUAGUCUUUUAAGCCAUUUUCGUGUGUUUUCAGGUUCUAAGGACAAAGUAUGCAAGAAGGUGCAUUUUGGAGCCCUUAGGAGCAAAAUUGGGCUUGGAAUGGUUAUCACAUUCUUGGAGCAAAGGAGAUGGACGAAAUUGAAGACCUAAAGAUGCUAGGAUUCCUAAUUGAAGUUGGAUUCCUAAAAGAAUGAGGACUCCUACUCACAUGAGGAUUCCUAAUUGAAGUAGGAAAGUUAAGCCAAGGUUUCCUAUUUUAGUUUGACCUUUCCUUCCUAAAUGUCUCUGAAUUCCAGCAACAUUGAAGGCCUCCUAAGCAUAGAGAGGACACAAAAUAUACCUUCCUUACACAAUCAAAGGCCAUGCCGCACCCUCUUGACCCCUUUACUCCUCCUUGCAGUGCAAGGGAGAGUGUUCUUUCCUAUUUCCUUGCAUUAAAACACAUUCCUAUUGUGUUUUAUUUCCUUGCCGUAUAUCUUAGCCUAUUUCCCUUAGUUUUUUUAUUUUAUUUCCUUUUUCUAGAAGCUUUUGACUUAAUUUCUGUUAACCAAAAUAAGUGAGGGUUUUAAUUCCUGAAAACCUUAAAUAGACUUCCUUUUUGUAGCCAAAAGGAUCCAUUCAUUCACCCAUUCACGCCAGAAAUCAUCAUACAUUCUCGGCCACAUCCAUCCUUCACCAUUCUCCAUAGUUUCUGACCUAAUUCAACCCUUGCGGCACCAUACAUCUAUCCUAACCAUAAACCCAUCCUUCUACACCAUCCAUAACCCCCAAAACUCACCAACAAACCUUGUGCCGCAGCAAGAAGGAAGGAAGACAGCCCUUGGACGUGCUUGCCAUUCGAGAUAGGAUUGCUGGAACGUUUUAGGUGUAAUCUUUCUUUUGUUUCCAAUGUUUCAAUUCAAUAAUUCUUGUUUUAUGAGUAUGAGGAACUAAACCCCUCUUAGCUAGGGGGGAAUUCAAAACCAUGUUCAUACUUGCAAUAUGAUUUGAUUAUAUCCAGUUAUGAUUCAUAAGUUGUGAAUUCUAUUUACUUAUCCGUUUGAAUUAAAACUGGUUUGUGUGUGGGGGUUGAGAGUGCACGCUUAAUUUUCAUGCAUAAAUCUGAUGCUAGGAUAUAAGAGAGUUUCACCUAAUUGUUAUGAACUUAUAUUCACAAGUAGUGAAGGUUGUUUGUCACAAUCGUGUUAAGUAAAUUCUUGGCUUAAGUUUCAUGCAAUUCAUAGUUACAAGUGCCUAGUCAAUGCUUAUGAUUUUCAUAGAACUUAAUGAUCUUUGCUCGUAUCUGUAUUAUGCAAUUCAUGUAGAGAACUUGUGAAGAAUGCUUUGGGUUGUUGUAUGCAAUCAUCUAAUUCAAUGAAAUUAGGAAAAUCUGAGGGUUAAGUAGUGCAAUUCACAUUUAAUCUGGGGCAUUGGGAAUUCAUGGGUAUUGAAGAGCAACUGGAAAUCAAUUUGUUUGCAAGUGUGUCAAGGGUGGAGAAGAACCUCCUACUAGCCUAUCAUCCAUAGUUUUACCCCAAAUUCGUCCAAAUUUUGCUUAGUUUAUAAUCUGUUUGUUUUGUUUUCAAAUUCACCAAAACCAAACCCCCCCCUUUACUUUAGAGUGUCUAAUUAGUUAGAAUCUGUUUACUUUGUGUUUUUAAGUGUUUUGAAUCAAUUCAAAACCAAAAUUCGUCCAAAAGUUUGUUAGAGUCAGAAACUGCCUAAUUGUUGUUUUUAGGCAGUUUUGAGCUUUUUUAGAUUGUUUUGAGUCUUUUGAGUUUGUUUUGAGUUCUUUGAGUCUAGUUAAGUGUUUUUAGCCUGUUUUUACAUAUUUGAGUCAGUUUAGGGUGUUUUAGCAAUCCCUCCUAAUCCCCGGUUUAAGAACGAUCCCUACUUAUCCAUACUACAUUUGUCAACAUGAGGGUUUAAUUUGUGUGUUAAGUUAAAUUUCGCAUCAAAUUUUGGCGCCGUUGCCGGGGAUUAGCAACUUUGCUAAUCCCUUGUUAUUUCUUUUUGUUUAUUUUCGUUUGUUUUUAUGAUUAGUUACUGACCUUGUUUGUUUUCCUAUUUUAGGCACUAGUUUAUGACUAGAAGUUCUUAAUCUAUUCGUGAGCAUAUUUUUUACUUUGACGACGAUUUCGAACGGACUUUGAGACGAAAGAGGAACCAACAAGAAUCCAAUCCACCUAGCCCUGAACCCGUGCUUGAAGAAGAGGUACAAGAGCAAGAGGAGGCCACGACAGGGAUUUUUUAAGAAGUCCAAGAUAUGGCAGCCGACAAUCGAACAAUAAAUGAGCUUUCUGCUUCGGGAUUGGAUAAUGCCAUGCCAUUAUGCAUUCAAUAUCCAAGGGCUGCCCAAGACAAGACCGACGAGUUUGAAUUAAAGUCCAGUUUAUUGCACCAUAUUCCUAAGUUGCAUGGGUUGUCAAUGGAAGAUCCUAAUAAACACUUAAAGGAGUUUGUGGUUGUUUGUUCGAGUAUGACUCCCGUGAAUUUUGAUGGGAGUAUUUUGAAGAUGAAGGCUUUUCCCUUUUCUCUCUUGGACAAGGCUAAAGAUUGGUUGUAUGAACUAGCUCCCGGAACUGUCACAUCAUGGGAGAGUAUGAAACGGGCAUUUUUGGAGAAGUUUUUCCCAACUUCUCGAGUCAUUCUUGAUAGGAGCAUAUUUAUGCUCCUUAGUUAGUUAGUUCUUAUGCAUUUAUGUUGUGUUUUCUUAGUUAAGUUAGUCUUUUAAGCUAUUUUCAUGUGUUUUCAGGUUUUAAGGACAAAGUAAGCAAAAGGAUGCAAUUUGGAGCAUUUUGGAGCAAAAUUGAGCUAGAAUGGAGCUCAUGCAUGUGGAGCACAAAGAAUGGACGAAUUUGAAGGAUUGAAGAGCUAGGAAUGUGUUUCAAAGUUGAAGACUUGAAGAUGCAAAGUUUCCUAAUUGAAGUGGGAAAGUGCUUAAUUGAAGAUGAAAUCCUAGUCAAACAUGGAUUCCUAGUUGAAGAUGGAUUCUUUGUUGAGGAAUGAUUCCUAAGUGAAGUUGGAUUCCUAGAAGAUUGAAGUUUCCUACUCAAACAAGGUUUCCUACUUGAAGAAGGGAAGUUAAAGCCAAAGAAUCAGCUCAAGUGAAGAAACCUUAUGCAAAACAUUAUCCAAACCCUAUCCUAUCCAAUCCUAUCCUAUCUUAUCCUAAUCCUAAUCCAUCUACAUUUCAGCUACUUGGGAGGAUUCCUAGCUAUAUUAGGAUGCUUAAAAUCAGAUUUCUAGAAAAACCUAAUCCUUUCCUACAAAAAUGGCUCUUAGAACCUUUCUAGAAGACCUUUGCCUUGCAUUGCAAUUCAGCCACUUUCCCUCCACUUUUGUGCCGUGAGUUUUUACCCAAAUCCCUUGGGAUUUUGGUUUCUAGAAGCCCUUAUCCCUUCCUAGUUUGGUGCCGCACCUUAUCCUCCAAUUCCCUUUGGAUUUCUGAUUUGUUUUCCUUCAAGGAUUGUGUUUUAUUUUCCUAUAAAACUUAGGCCUUUAAAUCCUUUUCCUUUGCUACCUAGGGGCUGGAUUUUCAGCCUAUAAAUACAACCCUUUGCCGCACCAAUUCACCACCACCCUCUACCAGAUUUUCAUUACAUCAUUCACCCAAUCAUCCCUCUUGUGCCGUGAGUUUGCAAAGGAGAAGGAAGGAGACUCUUGGAGCCGUGCAUGCCAUUCAAGGAGCUUGGAUUGUUGGAGCGUUUCUAGGUGUUUUCUAUCUUUAUGUCAAUGUUUAGAUUUAUUUAUCUUUGUUUAUUUGCGACCAUGAGGAACUAAUUUCUUUAUAGUUAGAGGGGAAUUCAAAGCCAUGUUCAUAUGUUUUAUAUGAUUUGAUUUCCUCCAGUUAUGAUUUCAUAAAUCGUGAAUGUGGUUUACUUAUCUAUUUGAUUGAUAACUUGUUCUUGUGUGUUAAUUAAGGAUGCAUACUUAGUUCGCAUGGAUGAAUUUGACGCUAGAGUAUAAGGGAAUUUCACCUAAUCGUUAUUAACUUAUAUUCAUAAGUAGUAAAAGUCGCUAGUCACGAUUGUGUUAAGUAAAUUGAUAGGAGCAUAUUUAUGCGCCUUAGUUAGCUAGUUCUUAUGCAUUUUCGUUAUGUUUUCUUUGUUAAAGUAGUCUUUUAAGCUACUUUCAUGUGUUUUCAGGUUUAAAGGAUAUAUUACAUGAAAUGAUGCAAUUUGGAGCUUUUGGAGCAAAAAAGUGAGCUUGGAUUGAAAAGGACAUGCUUGGAACACAAGGUUGGGAUGAAAUUGAAGAGUUGAAGAUUUGAGGUUUCCUACUUGAAGUAGGAAAGCUAAGCCUAAAAGUUUCCAUUUUGGGUUGAUCUUUCCUAAACCGGAAUGGCCUUGCGUUUGAGCAACAUUAGAAGGUUCCGAAGCGUUGGAAGACACAAAGAAAGGUGUUAGAAUAUUUUCUCAUCCUUGCUGUGGGUUAGGGCUUAAUUUCUCUUGGUUUUGGGCUUUUUAGAAGCCCUAUCCACAUUCCCGCUAACCAGCCGCACCUUUCCCCUUCUAGAACACAUAUUUCCUUGCCUUGCAAGGCUUUCUAGAAGCCCUAACCCUAGCCCACUUAAUUGCCGCACCUUAGGCCCUUUUCUCACCAAAUUUCUGAUUGUUUAACCUAUUUUUCUGGUGGAUUUGGGUUUCUAGAAACCCUAAUCUGAUUUGUUAGGGUUUUUAAGUGCCCAUAUAUAUAUUUUUCUACACCUAGCCGCACAUAUGAUCUCUACACACAAUUCAGAAAUUCAUCCAACCCUAUUUCCCCACCUUGCCGCAGCCACCAUCAUCCUUAUACCCUUAGCCGCCACUCCCCCAUCCAUUCCAGCCAUUUCCCAAACCUUGCCGCAACCCUUCUCCACAACCAUACACCAUUCUACACCUCCAUACACCAUCCAUACUCCUUGCCGCACCACCAUACUAUCCUAACUCCCUUCCAAACCCAAAAUCACAUCCAAAAAUACCCUAAACCUUCUCUGCCGCAGCAAGGAGAAGAAGAAAGAGGAGCUUGACGUCAGAAAUUCAAAGUGGAAUUGUUGGGCGUUUUAGGUGUAAUCUUUCUUAUGUCUUCGAUGUUUCAAUUCAAUAAACUUUGUGUUGUGAGUAUGAGAAACUAAACCCCCUUAGUUGGGGGGUAAUUCGAAACCAUGUACAUGCUUGCAAUAUGAUUUGAUUACAUUCAGUUGUUAUUUCAUAAGUUGUGGAUUCAAUUCGUUCAUCUAUUUGAUUGAUAAUUUAUUUGUGUAUGUUGAUUGAGAGUGCACGCUUAGUUUUCAUGCAUGAAUAUGAUGCUAGAUUAUGAGGGAGUUUCACCUAAUAGUUACAAUCUUAUAAUCACAAGUAGUGAAGGUCGCUUGAAAACGAUCGCGU